GACUAAAACCGGAUGAGAAAUGCAUCCCACGGGGAUAGAUACACAAAUCAUCCUCGGAAUGCCACCAUUAAACUUUAUCUUGGCUUACAGCCCCCAUGUCAUUACUUCAAGCUCUUUUACGUUACCUUAAAACUUCUUUUUUUUCAUUUCAGAUUCCGGCAACGAUAUGAUAGAAGCGGUUGUGGUGGAUGAAGAAACAGUUGACUUGGUAAAGGAGCAUUGGUUUGGUAUCUCUCUGAAACCAAAUCCACCGAUUCUCCUCAGGUGGUUUUUGCAUUGCUUACCACAGUAAUCUAAUAGACAACCAAGGAGGGAUCUGAAGAUGAAAUGGAGGUGGAACAGGAGAUUCCGUCCGUUGUAGCCAGUAUGUAAAUGUACCAUCCAUCAUCAUCAUCCAGCACCUCUGGUAAAUGUAUCUCUGUAUGCAUAAAUCUUUAUGUAUUUUUUGUACAUAAAUGAAACAAAGGAAGUAACAAACUAACAACGUUGGAUCAGAGUUUAAAAGAACACAUGGACUGGAUGCACCGUUUCCACAUUGAUUAAUGAUGAUGUAACUCUUACGCAA